rnacentral:lncRNA from 1 species
CUAUCUAUACCAUAUAUGAAACCUUAUUACAAAAAAUGUGCAUAUUUUCAUUAUUACCCGCCAUGUUUAUAUUUUUCCUACAAAAUUUAUACCAUUCAUUAAAUACCCAAUAUUAAGAGUUGAUUCCUUCCAAAUUAGGCACCUACAAAUCUGGGAUAAAUAUUUGAAUAGCUUAUUCCUUUCAAAUUAGGCGCCUAAAAUUUUGGGACUAAAUAUUUUUUCAUAUUCACAUCAGAUUUGUUUCCUCCUUUUUCUACAGGCUUCUCUUUCCUCAUUUUUCACGUAUUUCUAUUUCUCUAAGUAUAUACCAGUUUUCCCUUUCUAAAGCUCAGGGUCUUUUUGAUUUGGUUCUCCUCUUUUUUCUUUUAGGAAUGGCUGAGCAUAUUUAAAUAUGCAAGGCUCUGUUUUCGUCAACUAUUCGAAGGGAGGAGCUCUUGUUCUUGACGGGAGUGAGCUGAUGCGCUUGGGUCAACAAAUUUUCUACAAAAAUCUACAAAUAAACUACAAAUCAGUUUAAGUAUGUAUAAAGCAAUAUUGUUUUAAUGGUAUCUACAAAUUACUAUAUUUAUACUACAAUUAAAAUGCAAUCUAUAUUGAAAAAAAAUGUUGACUACAAAAUUUUCUUCUAAUCUACAAAUUUUCUACAAAAAAUCUACAAAGAAACUACAAAUCAAUUUACGUAUGUAUAAAGCAGUAUUGUUUUGAAGGGUAUCUACAAAAUUACUACAUUUAUACUACAAUUAAACUACAAUCUUAUGUGAAAAAAAAUGUUGACAACAAAAUUUGCUCUUCAUCUACAAAAUUUCUACAAAAAACUACAAAUAAACUACAAUUGCACCCAUACUGUCACACUUAUAUUGGGUCAGAUGUUUGUUAACCUAAGUUUUUUUCUAGUUUGGUCAAGAACUUGUGUGUCAAUGCCGGAUAAGUGUGACACUUGAAGAAUCUCUACCUUUAAAGAACCUCUAAAUUGCCUAAAAAGACAAUUUAUUUAAUAUUGAAAUAAUAUAGACAAAAUGGAGCCGGAGGUUACAGAAGAUUCAUAUGGCUACCCCACAAAUUUAUAAUUGAGAAUUGUUGAGUUGAUUGAUCGAUUGAGGAAGUCUUCUGUGUCAUACAUCUACUCUCGAUCUCGUAGUUGUUAAAAUUCAGAACAAUAUCUAACAAUUACCAGAAAUUACAAUAAUCGAAACAAUGGGUUUCAUAUUGAAUCUCUUUGGUUAAAAAUCUGAUUAUACUCAAUGGGUCUCAUCUCUGUAUUUUUUUAGAAGAGGAAGGAAUGGAGAUGAGAAAGAAAUGGGAGGGGAAAAACGACGCUGGUCAGAUCUUAGAAAUUAAGGGGAGAGAGAAACGUGAGAUAUAUGGAUACCUUUAAUUAAAGAGUAAAAACUGCCCAUUAAUUAACCCUUAAUUAAGUAUGGUAUAUGAUUGAUAAUUUGGUAUACGAGUUUGUAAUUAAAUCAAACCUUAAACAUUGAGAGUAAUAAGGUUUCUAUGUGGUAUAGGAAGGUAAAAAUCACUUAUCAUUAAUCAAGACAUAAAGUGGGCCUUUAGCCCAAAACCUUAUGUAUCUUCCAUCAUAGAAAGAGGCCCAGAAGCCUCUUAAGCCCAAUUCAAUAGUUCUGCCAAUUAACCCAAAAAAACAGCCCAAACUUUUGUAGCCCUACAUAUUUCUUUUUAAUAAAGACUAUUAGUGUUAAAGGAAAUUGAUAUCACAAUAGAGAAAGAAACCUAGUAAGCUUCUUUUUCUUUUAACAAUACUGUCGCCAGCUUCUUCUUUUUUAAAAAAUAAAAUUAAGAAGACUUUUGACUAUAGAAAGAAACCUAAUUUCUUUCUUUCUUCUUUUUUAGCCUUUACCGCCGCCUUUUUUCUUUACUGGAGCACAAAGCUCCAUCGUUACUGGAGCACAAAGCUCCAUCAAUAUUUGGAACAAAGAAAUCCUUGUUUCUAUCCUUUCUAUUGUUAUUCUGCCGCUUUCGUUAGAACUUCUUCUUAUUUUUUUUUUCGCUAGAUCAGUUUCUUUAAGAAAAACUGACCAAAAGAAUUUCCAGAUAAAAAACUGUCAAAGGCUGAUAUAGAACUAAUUUCAAAUCAGUAAUAAAAAAAUGUCUUCAUUCAAAACAAUCAUUCACUGAUUUGCUCAAAAAUCAGCGGCCAAAUAUUUAUACACUCGUACAAUUUUUUUUUGUUAUUUAUUAAAUCAGCGUAUAAGACAAUUUUAGGCAGCCCAAUUGCACAUAGAAUAUUACAAAUAAACGGAUACAUAGUUCUAGAUUCACACGAUGAUUAGAACAGUUUUGGUAUAUUUCCGGACCAAAAAAUCAGCCUAUUGCUCUGAUACCAAUGAAGGAACACGUUAAUCUAAACACAUUAGACAAUGCGUAAAUCGUAAAACGAGAACUUACUUGUUCUUCGUGAAGCGGAAGCGAAAACGAAUUGAAUCGCGGCUGGAAUCACUGAUCGGUAGUGGUUAUCACGGUGUGUUGGAGCAACCCCUAUUCCACAGUCUAAACCUUAACCAAAAUUGAGAGUGAACAUCGUAUAACUAAUAACCCUAUUGGGUCUUAAAGUACCCCUUAUGGGUGGACCCAAUUUUCCUACAGCAUAUUUGCACAAGUAGUAAACUCAACACCUUUACGUACUCCCUUCACGACAUUUAUGUUUACUAAUUAAAAGACGCUGGUAUCUUCAAGAAUGAACCCUUUCUAAAUUUGGAAAUAAUUUAGUAUAAACUUACAACUCUACCCUUAAUGAGAAACUUUUAUAACCACACAAAUACUCUGAGCCCCUUUUUAACUUGUUUAAGACCACAAAUUCCAAAAGUCUUCAUUUUUUUCUUAAACUCUGCGCCCAGUCAAACAGGUUCACAUAAAUUGAAACGGAGGGAGUUUGUUGUAAGUGAAGGUUAUUCCAUGUUUUAAAAUGAAGAAAUACUACUACAGUAUAUGAUAAGAAUAAGGGCGGGAAUGGAUUUAACAAAUAGCAAAGGAGUUUAUCAUUCACAGCACACUAGAAGAAUCUAUUACAGAAUGAAUAAUUUAUUUUUCUGUUGUCUUCGACAGAUUCUCGAUCUAAUCUCCUGCUUUUCAUCUGAUUCUUGAAUCUUGUCAAAGAGAUUACACUAAAUAAUAGAAACAGUCUGCUAUGACCAAUUAAUCAUUUAGUCGAAUUACCUCAAAUAUUCUUGGUUUCUGCCGGUAGUCAAUCAUCAACAACGAUAUGUUAAAUGCUAUUGAAAAAUUUGGGGUGUCAAACUACAUAAACAAAUUUCUUGUUAGUACGACAUGUUGAGGAAACGUAUCAAGAUAAUAGAAGGAAAAGGAUAUUUAGGAGAGAAACAAUAAAUUGCACAAGACAAGAUUUACAUGGUUCGACAAUUUUUGCCUACUCCACGGCCACACAAAGAAUAGCUCUUUAUUAAUUGAAGAGAGAAAGAAGAAGCUUUG